rnacentral:rRNA from 1 species
UACGGAGGGGGCUAGCGUUGUUCGGAAUUACUGGGCGUAAAGCGCACGUAGGCUGUUUUGUAAGUCAGAGGUGAAAGCCCGGGGCUCAACCCCGGAUGUGCCUUUGAGACUGCAGAACUAGAACGUCGGAGAGGUGAGUGGAAUUCCGAGUGUAGAGGUGAAAUUCGUAGAUAUUCGGAAGAACACCAGUGGCGAAGGCGGCUCACUGGACGACUGUUGACGCUGAGGUGCGAAAGCGUGGGGAGCAAACAGG